UGCUUUUGGUUCUUCGUUUAAUCUCGCCUCUUGCUCGAUUAUUUAUUUCUGUUUUGUGCAUUUUAUACAUGUUUUCGUAUUUGAAUUUCCUUUUUUGAACUGAAUUUGGGGUUUUUGGUUCUUUGGAGGAUUUGUAUUUUUUUUGAGUUUUAGGGUUGAGCCGCCUUGAUUCCGCGUAUGCUACCUCUUAAUUCUACAUUGAUGAUAUGACACGAAAGAAUCUUUGUUAUGGCUGUCAAUCAGAUAAAAAAAAGGUAAUGAUGUUUGGCAAAUGGCAUUGCAGAAAUAGAUACAUAAAGUCCUAAGGAUCUGAAAGAUGUUUUAUUGCUUUAAUGAUUUUAUGAACGUCGGAAUAACAAGAAUUGCUCCAUUAUGGAAUGCUUGGUGUUUGUGGGCUGUGUUAAAAGUGCUGAGUUUCAGCGAAUGGCAGGGCAGAAAUAGGUACUAAAGUGCCCAUGGAUCAAGAGGGACCUCAAAGUUGAAAGGCUUAGCCAGGCUCUGGAAAUCACUAAAGGUUGUUUUAUCGCUUUAAUAAUUUUAUUGAGUUGGAAUCACUAAAAUUGCUCCACGGUGGAUUGCUUGGCUUUUAUGAGUUGCAGAAAAAGUGCUGACGUUCAGACAAAUGGUAGACCAGAAAUAGAUUGCUAAAAUUCCCUUGGAAUCUGAGGGACCUCAAACUUGAAAGCUUAGCUGUGCUCAGUGAGUUGUGGGGUGGAUAAAGGUUCUUUGUUCAACUAAUAGCAGUGCAGAAUUGGAUACUAAAAGUACCCAAUGAUCAAAAAGGACCUAAAAGUGAAUGUCCAAGCCAUUCUUGGAUGAAAUUUCUUAGCCACAAAGUUCUUACCUCCUUACAUUUUCAUCGUAUUCUUCGAUAAGCUGGAACUUGCCGUGUUACUUUAUCAAUGACUACUUCACAUCAAAAAAAGGCAAAAAUAUUGCAUCCGUGCUUUCCUAUCCUUGGAGAAGUGGUCCUUUUAUUCUUUAGCUGUGAUGGGACAUUCAUUGUACUGAAGGAGAAUCUGGGAAGGCUCUGGACCAAAAGCAGUUAUUGAUGAACAUUAUGUAUCAAAUUCAAAAAGAUAUGUUCCAACAAAAAGAUGACCACAGUGGAAAGCAGAAGCGAGCUUCAAUUAUAUUGCACCAGCACACAUUGUCAUAUACAACUGGGCAACCUGAAGUUGUUGGACUCUGGCUUCUCUGUCCAUUGGAGUAAGCUGGGGAGGUAUCUGAAUUGGAGGGCCUGAGAAAAGGUCAAUGUUCCCUUUUGGAGGUCGUGGGUGGGAG